AAGUGGCCUCCAUUCCAGUAUUAUUGUUCUUCAUUCCUAUUUUUACUUUUGUCCUCUGGGGAUAAAAAAAAAACCGAUGUUGGUGAUGCUCUUUGCCCCUCUCUUUCUCUUAUCCUUGCUCCCAAGUGCUUUCUCCCAGGUCACAUUAAAGGAAUCUGAACCAGGAGCAGUGAGACCAGGAGAGACCCUCGAGCUGACCUGUACGGUCACUGGGCGCUCUGUGACAAGCAGCUACUGGUGGCACUGGGUACGACAGACCCCCGGGAAAGGGCUUGAAUGGAUGGGAGGGUGGACUGCAAGAUCAUACUAUGCUGCAUCAUUCCAAAACCGAAUCACGAUCUCUGUGGAUUCUUCCCAAACCAAGUACUUUCUGAGACUGAGCUCUGUGACAGCUGCAGACACAGCCAUGUAUUACUGUGCAACAGGCUACUAUGCUUUUGACUACUGGGGACAAGGCACCCUGGUUACAGUCAGCAGUGCUUCCCCAGCUGCCCCAUCUCUUUUCCCUCUCAUUGCUUCUCUUGGGAGCGAGAGCAGUGAAAAGGUCGCCAUCGGGUGCUUGGCCAAGAAUUUCCUUCCUGACUCGGUCACUUUCUCCUGGAGCAAUAAGAACAAUGUCAGCGACAGUACAAUCACGGCCAAGACGUUUCCUUCAGUACUCGACUCCGAAGGGCGUUACACCGCAAGUUCCCAGGCACUCGUCCCAUCUGCUGAUUGGAUAAAGGAGUUUCCAUUUUACUGCAAGGCUGACCAUCCUUCUGGAAACAAAGUGGAAAAAGUAGCCCGUGGCUGUGAUACAUCAGUCGAAAAGCCUCCACCUGAGAUGUCUGUACUUGCACCACCCAUUGAAGCCUUUUUUGGCAGCUACCUGAAUGCCACCCUCACCUGCAACGUAGUUAACCUUCCCUCCAGUAAGUACACACUUCAGUGGCUGAAGAAGGGACAGGUACUCACCACCGCCCAGCCAGUCCGAGAUGGCAGUAGUUACAGCAUAAGGAGUGAACUCAUAGUCACCAAGACAGAUUGGCUCAGCGACAUUUUCUUCUCUUGUGUGGUGAAUGGCAAGGACUUCAACGACUCACGGAAGAUCAACAGGCAAUCUUUUUGUCAAGCUGGCUAUUUCUGUAACCAGGAUGCCCGUGUGGAAACAAUCCCACCAUCCUACGCUGACAUCUUCCAGACCAAGUCAGCCAAGCUGACCUGCAGAAUUUCAAACAUACCCGUUGAACAGGAUCUUUCGGCACUGAAUGUUACCUGGACAAAAGAAUCUGACCAUACACUACUGAAGACCAUUAUUGGAAAGCCAGAAGAUCAGGCUAAUGGGCUUACUUACAUUGACGCUACAGCCACCGUGUGUGCCACAGAGUGGGACAACCAUGAAACCUUCACGUGCAAAGUUAAUUUCCCAGGCUUACUUCCUGAACCUAUCGACAAAACUUUGGAAAAGUUUAAAGGUGGCACCCCAUAUAGCCCAGCCAUCUACGUCUUCCCCCCUACCUCGGAAGAACUAGCUCUGCGAGAAACAGCCACCCUCACUUGCCUAGUGAAAGGUUUCUACCCCCAAGGUAUCUUUCUGCAGUGGCUCCACAAUGAUCAGCCAGUGAAUCCUGCAAAUUUCUACACCAGUGAACCCAAAGAAGAGCCCAAGAUACAAGGAAAGUUCUUUGUCUAUAGCAUAUUGUACAUCAGUGAAAGUGACUGGAGUCAUGGAGACCAUUACACUUGUGUCGUGGGACAUGAGGCGCUGCCCAUGAACAGCACUCAGAAGACCGUGGACAAGAACACGGGUAAACCAACUGUUGUCAACGUCUCCUUAAUGCUCUCCGAUACGGCCACAACUUGCAACUAAACACCAUGAUAGUUUCUCUCAUGCAUCCUCCAUGCUCCCAUUACCACCGGAAUCUGUUUCCUCCUUGUGCCUCUUCCUGCUUCAUUAUUGAUUCUUCAGUUGAAAAUUGGGGUUUGAUUCUAAGGAAAGAUGUGUCUCACAUGUUAAAGCGUUAACUGACCACAUCUUUUGGAAGAAAGAAAUAGUUUGCAAUAAAGUAUUGUUGUUUUUUUCAAACAAUGAAAGAA